GAUGAACGCUGGCGGCGUGCCUAAUACAUGCAAGUCGAGCGAACAGACGAGGAGCUUGCUCCUCUGACGUUAGCGGCGGACGGGUGAGUAACACGUGGAUAACCUACCUAUAAGACUGGGAUAACUUCGGGAAACCGGAGCUAAUACCGGAUAAUAUAUUGAACCGCAUGGUUCAAUAGUGAAAGACGGUUUUGCUGUCACUUAUAGAUGGAUCCGCGCCGCAUUAGCUAGUUGGUAAGGUAACGGCUUACCAAGGCGACGAUGCGUAGCCGACCUGAGAGGGUGGUCGGCCACACUGGAGCUGAGACACGGUCCAGACUACUACGGGAGGCAGCAGUAGGGAAUCUUCCGCAAUGGGCGAAAGCCUGACGGAGCAACGCCGCGUGAGUGAUGAAGGUCUUCGGAUCGUAAAACUCUGUUAUUAGGGAAGAACAAAUGUGUAAGUAACUAUGCACGUCUUGACGGUACCUAAUCAGAAAGCCACGGCUAACUACGUG
rnacentral:rRNA from 1 species